GGGUCCUUUCAAAUCCAGGUCAACAUCAGGUAUGGAGAUCUUGGGAGCUUUGAUAUUUAUUUCAGGCAUCUUGAACUUGGGGCCCUUUAGUUUCGCAUCUGGACCUUCGAUAUUCACAUCAGGAACAUCAACGUCCACUUUGGGUCCUGAGACAUCAAUGUCAGCCUUGGGCAGGUUCACAUCCACAUCUGGGCCCUCUCCUUUGAAGCCAGGCAUGCUGAACUUGGGCAUUUUCACUUUGGGCAUUUUUAAGUGCCAGUCUGGGCCUUGAACGUCCACAUCUGGGACAUCAAUGUCCACUUUGGGGCCCUUGAUGUCAACUUCAGGGCCCUUGAGGUCGCCUUCCACUUUGGGCAGAGAAACGUCCACGUCGCCCUUCAUCUUUGGACCUUUCAGAUUCAGGUCAACUUCAGGCAUAGAGAUCUUCGGUGCCUUGAGGUGCAGGUCAGGCAUUUUAAAUUUGGGGCCCUUCAGUUUCCCUUCUGGACCAUGAAUAUCAAUAUCAGGAGUGUCAAUGUCCACUUUGGGUCCUGAGACAUCAAUGUCAGCCUUGGGCAGGUUCACAUCCACAUCUGGGCCCUCUCCUUUGAAGCCAGGCAUGCUGAACUUGGGCAUUUUCACCUUGGGCAUCUUCAGGUGCCAGUCUGGGCCUUGAACAUCCACAUCUGGGCCCUCUCCUUUGAAGCCAGGCAUGCUGAAUUUGGGCAUUUUCACUUUGGGCAUUUUUAGGUGCCAGUCUGGGCCUUGAACCUCCACAUCUGGGACAUCAAUGUCCAUUUUGGCACUUUUAAGUUCAACAUCAGGAACUUUAAUCUCACUUUCAAC
rnacentral:lncRNA from 1 species